CCCUGAUGUGUCGUCCCCACUUCCUGUUAUGAGCGAUCAAUGACCCCGAUGUGUAGUCCCCACUUCCUGUUAUGAGCGAUCAAUAACCCUGAUGUGUCGUCCCCACUUCCUGUUAUGACAGGAAGGAGGAGGUCGCUCCAACACUCUCGAUAAGGCGAAAAAAUACAGCUUUUUUUUCCCCCCCAAAAACAUUUCAAGUUCCCUUCUGCUUGGUGAUCAUUAACCAAGAGGUCAGAGCCUUUAUACAGCGGAAGAGAGAGAUGGUUUGAGUUUCCCCAUCGUUCACCUGUUGGUUCAUACAAUCAAAAUAACUCAAAAUGUAUAAAAAGAUGGUUAAAACAAAACACCCCCCCCAUGAUGCAUAAACAGAAGAAACGCACUUCAUUUGUGCGAACAAAAGACAGUAGUCAUUUUGGGUUUAUUUCAAAUAAGAAAUAAUAUUUUUUUAAAAAAGGAUUAUUAGAAAUUUAAUUUUAAAAAGAAAAACAAUUAUAAUUUGAUCCUGUUCGUCAUUUUAAUAUUUAGACCAGCUGGGCUACUGAGAUGAUAACAACACAGGAGAGGGGCACGUCCCAAAUUACCCCCUAUUCCCCUCAUAGUGCACUACGGCAACACAGAGAGGAGCGCGUCCCAAAUUACCCCCUAUUCCCCUCAUAGUGCACUACGGCAACACAGAGAGGAGCGCGUCCCAAAUUACCCCCUAUUCCCCUCAUAGUGCACUACGGCAACACAGAGAGGAGCGCAUCCCAAAUUACCCCCUAUUCCCCUCAUAGUGCACUACGGCAACACAGAGGGGUGCGCAUCCCAAAUUACCCCCUAUUCCCCUCAUAGUGCACUACUUCUAACCAGAGCCCAAUGGGUAGGUAGAGCACUAGAAAGGAAAGAGGAAGCCAUUUUGGGACAGUGUAGUAGUAAUAAUUACUGAUUCCUGAAGGACAUUUCAUCUCUUUAGUCUCUAACAGAAGUUGCCAGUUUGGAGACAUUUCAUCUCUUUAGUCUCUAACAGAAGUUGCCAGUUUGGAGACAUUUCAUCUCUUUAGUCUCUAACAGAAGUUGCCAGUUUGGAGACAUUUCAUCUCUUUAGUCUCUAACAGAAGUUGCCAGUUUGGAGAGAAAAUACACAUUAUAGACUCAGACUAUUUACAACAUGAAGCAUACAUGUAUAUACACAGGAUAAUAUACCACUGGCAAGCUGAGGGAGAAUUCUUUCUCUGCAGGGUUCAGACUGUAGACUGGUGGGGUCAUGGGGUCAGGGUCUAGACUGUAGACUGGUGGGGUCAGGGUCUAGACUGUAGACUGGUGGGGUCAUGGGGUCAGGGUCUAGACUGUAGACUGGUGGGGUCAUGGGGUCAGGGUUCAGACUGGUGGGGUCAUGGGGUCAGGGUCUAGACUGUAGACUGGUGGGGUCAGGAUCUAGACUGUAGACUGGUGGGGUCAGGGGGUCAGGGUCUAGACUGUAGACUGGUGGGGUCAGGGGGUCAGGGUCUAGACUGUAGACUGGUGGGGUCAGGGUCUAGACUGUAGACUGGUGGGGUCAGGGUCUAGACUGUAGACUGGUGGGGUCAGCUAGGGGUCAGGAUCUAGACUGUAGACUGGUGGGGUCAGGGUCUAGACUGUAGACUGGUGGGGUCAGGGUCUAGACUGUAGACUGGUGGGGUCAGGAUCUAGACUGUAGACUGGUGGGGUCAGGAUCUAGACUGUAGACUGGUGGGGUCAGGGUCUAGACUGUAGACUGGUGGGGUCAGGGUCUAGACUGUAGACUGGUGGGGUCAGGUAGAGGUCAUUAAACGGGAAUUAAAUUGCUCUCCAAAAUCUGAAUGUGUUCGCUCACUUCCAAACCUAAAAAAAUAGUUUAUUCUGACGUGACUUAAACAUUGACAUGGACUCAGAACAUGCAGUUUGGAGAGUAAAAACGAAAUACAUCUCAAAUUAAACACGUGAAAACACGAUUUAGGAGAACUGAAAACAGAAGAAUAAAAAACAUCUCCGAUUUUAUAGGGCCCCCCCCUAGUGUUUAUUAAACAUUGUUUUAACCAGGUAUAUCAACAGAAA
rnacentral:lncRNA from 1 species